GACGAACGCUGGCGGCGUGCUUAACACAUGCAAGUCGAACGGAAAGGCCCUGCUUUUGUGGGGUGCUCGAGUGGCGAACGGGUGAGUACACGUGAGUAACCUGCCCUUGACUUUGGGAUAACUUCAGGAAACUGGGGCUAAUACCGGAUAGGAGCUCCUGCUGCAUGGUGGGGGUUGGAAAGUUUCGGCGGUUGGGGAUGGACUCGCGGCUUAUCAGCUUGUUGGUGGGGUAGUGGCUUACCAAGGCUUUGACGGGUAGCCGGCCUGAGGGGGUGACCGGCCACUUGGGGGUGGGGAUACGGCCCGGGCUCCCACGGGGGGGAGGGGGGGGAAAUUUGUGACAAGGGGGGGAACCCUGUAGAAGCACGGCCGUGUGGGGGUGAGGGGCCUUCGGGUUGUAAACCGUUUUCGCCGGGAGCGAGGGGUGAGUGACGGUAAUGGGUAAAGAAGCACCGGCAAACUAGGG
rnacentral:rRNA from 1 species